GAAUUCAAGCGUGGUUUUAUUAAAAAGAAUCUUUUAAUAGUCUUNAUAUAUCAAAUUUAUAAAAUAAUAAAUUAUAGAAGAAAAAUUUUAAAUAUUUUCAGAAAUAUGNNCAAGUAUUAU
rnacentral:rRNA from 1 species